rnacentral:rRNA from 1 species
UACGGAGGGUGCGAGCGUUGUCCGGAAUCACUGGGCGUAAAGGGCGCGUAGGCGGCCUGGCAAGUCGAUGGUGAAAGCCCGAGGCUCAACUUCGGGUCGGCCACUGAUACUGCUGGGCUUGAGUCGACUAGAGGCAGAUGGAAUUCCGGGUGUAGCGGUGGAAUGCGCAGAUAUCAGGAGGAACACCAAUGGCGAAGGCAGCUCGCUGGGACGGUACUGACGCUGAGGCGCGAAAGCGUGGGGAGCAAACAGG